UACGUAGGGUGCAAGCGUUAAUCGGAAUUACUGGGCGUAAAGCGUGCGCAGGCGGUUAUUUAAGACAGUUGUGAAAUCCCCGGGCUCAACCUGGGAACUGCAUCUGUGACUGCAUAGCUAGAGUACGGUAGAGGGGGAUGGAAUUCCGCGUGUAGCAGUGAAAUGCGUAGAUAUGUGGAGGAAUACCGAUGGCGAAGGCAGCCCCCUGGGAUAACACUGACGCUCAUGCACGAAAGCGUGGGGAGCAAACAGG
rnacentral:rRNA from 1 species